rnacentral:tRNA from 2 species
GCGCCCAUAGCUCAGUUGGAUAGAGCAGCAGCCUUCUAAGCUGCGGGCCGCAGGUUCGAAUCCUGCUGGGCGCG